AGCGAACGCUGGCGGCAGGCCUAACACAUGCAAGUCGAACGGACCCUCCGGGGUUAGUGGCGCACAGGUGAGUAACACGUGGGAACGUGCCUUUAGGUUCGGAAUAGCUCCUGGAAACGGGUGGUAAUGCCGAAUGUGCCCUUUGGGGGAAAGAUUUAUCGCCUUUAGAGCGGCCCGCGUCUGAUUAGCUAGUUGGUGAGGUAAUGGCUCACCAAGGCGACGAACAGUAGCUGGUCUGAGAGGAUGACCAGCCACAUUGGGACUGAGACACGGCCCAAACUCCUACGGGAGGCAGCAGUGGGGAAUCUUGCGCAAUGGGGGAAAGCCUGACGCAGCCAUGCCGCGUGGAUGAUGAAGGUCUUAGGAUUGUAAAAUCCUUUCACCGGUGAAGAUAAUGACUGUAGCCGGAGAAGAAGCCCCGGCUAACUUCGUGCCAGCCGCCGCAGUAACAC
rnacentral:rRNA from 1 species